GAUGAACGCUGGCGGCGUGCCUAACACAUGCAAGUCGAACGAAGCACUUUGAUGGAUUCUUCGGAAGAAAGAGAAGUGACUGAGUGGCGGACGGGUGAGUAACGCGUGGGUAACCUGCCUUAUACAGGGGGAUAACAGUUAGAAAUGACUGCUAAUACCGCAUAAGCGCACAGGACUGCAUGGUCCAGUGUGAAAAACUCCGGUGGUAUAAGAUGGACCCGCGUCUGAUUAGCUAGUUGGUGGGGUAACGGCCUACCAAGGCGACGAUCAGUAGCCGACCUGAGAGGGUGACCGGCCACAUUGGGACUGAGACACGGCCCAAACUCCUACGGGAGGCAGCAGUGGGGAAUAUUGCACAAUGGGGGAAACCCUGAUGCAGCAACGCCGCGUGAUUGAAGAAGUAUUUCGGUAUGUAAAGAUCUAUCAGCAAGGAAGAAAAUGACGGUACUUGACUAAGAAGCCCCGGCUAACUACGUG
rnacentral:rRNA from 1 species